rnacentral:rRNA from 1 species
UACGAAGGGUGCAAACGUUGAUCGGAAUUAUUGGGCGUAAAGCGCACGUAGGCGGCUUUGCAAGUCGGAUGUGAAAUCCCUCGGCUUAACCAAGGAAGUGCAUCCGAAACUGCAGAGCUUGAGUACUUAAGAGGAUCGCGGAAUUCCCGGUGUAGAGGUGAAAUUCGUAGAUAUCGGGAGGAACACCAGUGGCGAAGGCGGCGAUCUGGGAAGAUACUGACGCUGAGGUGCGAAAGCGUGGGGAGCAAACAGG